rnacentral:rRNA from 1 species
UGGGGAAUAUUGCACAAUGGGGGAAACCCUGAUGCAGCAACGCCGCGUGAAGGAAGACGGUUUUCGGAUUGUAAACUUCUAUCAAUAGGGACGAAGGAAAUGACGGUACCUAAAUAAGAAGCCCCGGCUAACUACGUGCCAGCAGCCGCGGUAAUACGUAGGGGGCAAGCGUUAUCCGGAAUUACUGGGUGUAAAGGGUGAGUAGGCGGCACUGUAAGUAAGAUGUGAAAGCCUUAGGCUUAACCUGAGGAUUGCAUUAUAAACUGCAGAGCUAGAGUACAGGAGAGGAAAGCGGAAUUCCUAGUGUAGCGGUGAAAUGCGUAGAUAUUAGGAAGAACACCAGUGGCGAAGGCGGCUUUCUGGACUGGAAACUGACGCUGAGGCACGAAAGCGUGGGGAGCGAACAGGAUUAGAUACC